UUACUACAGGUUAUUGCUGAGGUCAAAAUACCCAAACUCUAACCCGUCGGAUGUCUGCAGCACCAAGCAUUAUUUCGCCCCCUAAAAGAGAAGCAGCAUUAUUUGACUUGAGCUUCUUUGGAGGUCCGGUGAUUGGACUUUAUUUUUAUAUUUUUCAUGGUGUUCUUUGAAUUGUAACUCCCCUAGGUUUUAGCAUGCGUUUGAAGGUUUUGAUUGCUGGGGAACACGGUCAAUGGAUCAUGAGAUUAUCACUCGACGUGCAAACCCUUGUGGAAGUUAAAUCCAUGUAGCGUGUCCAUACCGAGUAGACGACCAACAUGCUCCUCACAGAUUCCGGUACAAUAAAAAUUCGGGUACAAGUUUGAGUGUUAUUUCUAGUCAAUGAUGAUUUUGAGUGUUAUUUCUAAUCCAAUAAAAAUUGAAUUGUUGCAUAUCUUAAAAUUUGUGUACAAGUAAAGGUUUACAAAUACAAAGUCACAAUUAUCUGUACUCCCUCCGUGUUUUUAUUGAGGGCGUCAAAAUUUUCACCCGAAUUUCUAAACAUAAGGCGCGCAACUGUGCGUCUGCGCGCUGGCGUGAUUUGCGAAUUAUCUACUCAUCCACGCGAUUUGGUUGCUUACUGAAAAGUUGCAUCUGUCGUGGAGUUUUGUUGCAUGCAUGCAUGCUCACGGGGCAUCGAUGAAUGGUCCAGUUUUUUUUUCUUGCACAACUGCAUGCGGCAGUUGAGAUCGAUCGUGUGUGCUCCCGAAUGUGUAUGCGGCAGCUACUUAAGUUGCAAGAUGUGUGCAACUUGAUCGGCCGGUUUUGAAAAAAACUAAUUUUCAACCCACAGAAAAGAAGUGUUAUUCAGUUCCGACUAGCGGAGAUGGUUCUAACCGUACGUACGUACGUACGUGUCUAAUUUACAUGGUCCAUUUUUAACCUUGCACGUCGCUUCCGUUCCCUGGCUCCAACACGAUAGUGGCUCUUCUCUGUUAUCUUUGCAUGGAACAACGUGUGGAGUCAAUAACAAUCGAACAGCUAGUAAUAAUCUACUAGUAAUGCCCAAGAACAACGCGAAGAGAGCGAGGGAGAAAAACUAAUUUAAUCAGAGAGAGAGAAAGAGAGUGUGGGUAUGUGUUGAAGUGGCCGAGAAGGAAGAUCAGUAUGGGGCAGUAAUUUAUGGGCGGCUCGAUGAACAUUCCCUUGUCGUGGACUGGAUGGACGCAAAUGGCAUGCGUGCACCUGCCAGAGCAUUUCUCGCGUGCCCUCUCACGUCUCGAUCACCCGCGCACUGCAUGCCGGCCGUUGUGAACCUAUGCCGUGUGCAUGCAUAUAUGUCGUUGUGGUUUGGGUGUGUGCUCCCUAAAAGCACAGCUCCCUCUCUCGUGCAUGCCUUUAUCUCUUUCUUUCUUUCUUCUCUUUUCGUCCCUCGCUUUCUCUUCUUUCCUCUUGUUUCCUAUCGUCUUUUCAUCUUCCUUUCACGGACACUACUGUCUCCGGUAGAAACGCUAGCUAGAGGACGAAGAAAAAGCAGCAAAGAGAUGGAAAUUAAUGGAUCCAUCUCUGUGCGCAUAUCUUUCUGUCUCUCAUGUAUUUGACCAUGACGAGAUAGAGCCGAGAAAGGUAGUAAAAGAAAACAUAAACCUGUAAAGAUCGAGUGAAAAGAAAAUUACAUACUCCGUACAUACUUAAUCAUCACAAGUUAUACAGUUAUAUGCCUGAUCCAUAUGCAAUUUGUUACUACACUGGAUAGCACGUACGCAUAUAUAGUUUCGCGCAUGCUGAUCAGUACUGUACCAGGAUGUGAGUUCCUAUAUAUAAUUACCCUAUCGAUCGUACGCUUCCUGCACAUGUCGUACACAAAGUAAGGCAUAAAUAUAUAUAGUAAUUUUUUAAAUUUUAUUUAACCGGCCGGCCAAAAGCUAGCUAGCUUGUUGCUUUAUUAUAAAGUGAAAGGUGAUGGAUAGUUUGUUCAAGGCUCGAGGAGGAUGCAUGAUGUGUGUGUAAUUGGUGGGGACUGGCGACUACCUAGGAAUUGCUUGCAAGGCGCUAAUUGAUGGAUGGAUGGAUUGAUCGAUAGACCGGACUAGAUAAAAAUGUGGCACGUAGGGCUUGGUGCUAGCGUUGCACCAUGGGAUGCUUCUGCGUGUGGCACUGUACAUGUGAGACAGCUCGAUGUGGACGCUCCGCAAUCUGCCCAAAUGUAUAUCAUAUCUAUCUCAACCGUUAGCUCAUGGCGCAUUAGGUUCUCUUUUCCAUCGUGUGUGUCCUACGUACUUGGCAGGUACGGCGCUGUUUCUUUGACCAUGCAUGCAUGGACGUACGUGUAUGUGCAAUCCCAGAGCUUGUCCUGUUUCUUCUGAUCAUUAGCUAGCGAGCGCCUUCUUACGAGUUACGAACUACUGUUACUCCCUUAUUUUCAGGAUUUAUAAGACUCGAUCACUCGUAUUCCAUAUUUCAGGAUUUAACUUUGAUAUAAUUAUGCCCUAAAAAAACUUUGAUAUAAUUAUUAGACAACUGAUAUAUGUUUGUAAUUAAAAUUAUUUAACUGGAAAUUUCGCUGUUUGUGGAUUCAAUAAUAUAACUUUUUGUGGCACCACUCAUAUAUAUUUUGUUGCUCAAUUGCCGUUUAAAAUAAAUAUCAAAAGAAGUAUGCUUCGGUACACCCCUCCUUCCAGAAUUAAAAAGGUACCUACUUUUAAUUCCGUUUCUACAUAUUAGUUAGGAUAGCCCACUAGCUAAAACCCAUAUCCAAGCCCCGUAUCUGGGUCGAUACCCAUACCCAACUCUCCCGUUCGCUGAGGGCUUGGCUUUCUUCUUCUUCCUCCAUGGGCUAUCGCCACAGCCACAUUGCAGCAAGCACUGAUGGCAGAUAUGAGGGUGGCCUGACUCCGUUCACUUAGUCCGAUCUGGAGCUCCGGGCGCCAUCCCUUCCCCACGAGUAAUUAAUAAGAGAUCUACGUUUACUCAACCAAGGCCUGAUGCAUACAACUUGAUCUUGAUAUGGUAGAAAAAAUAGUUGGUGCUGACUUAGAAUUCAUGGAUUAGCAUUUAAUAAGUAUGGUACUAGAACAUACAUAGACAAGAAUAUAUUUUGGGAUUGAGCUUAACUACUCCAAGUUCCCUUGUUUGAGUUGCUAGAGUAAGGUGCUCAUCCUCACCACGAGUAUCACUUGAAUCAUCACUUGCUACUUUGACUCUAGCCGAUCCUACAAAUUAGUAGAAUAAUAGUAAGUGAUACCAUUACGUAUUUUGUUGGAGCUAAAUCUCUCAACUCACACAAGAAACGGAAAGCAAGAUUUUUGGCCUCGAGCUGCCUCUCACAGCCGAGCUUUUCUCUCCUUCUAUUCCUCUUUCUUGUUACCAAAACAACCGAGAUUACAAUGCCUUAUAUUAUAAGCCAGCAAAAACGGCUCGGCUCGGCUCGGUCCAGCUCGUCACGAGCUCGCCUCCGCUGAGCCGAGCCUGGCUCGGCCCGAAAUUCCGGCGAGCCGUUUUUGCUGGCUCGGCUGGGCAGGCACGCAGCUCGGGCUGGCUCGGCGAGCUGGAGGGUAGAGGUGUACGGAGGCAGGCGGGAGAUCCGGCGACGGAGUCGUAGACGAUGUGGUACGACCAGAGAAGGUUCCCAUCGAGCUCCACGGCCCCGUCGUCUACUUCUGCGACCUCGUCGUCGUCUUCUACCUCUGCGACCCUGUCGUCGUCUACCUCCACGGCCCCGUCGUUGCCAGCGAGGGGCGAGAACAGGCCGAGGUCGACAAGGAGAGACCGGCGUUGGCAUGAUUGAAGGCGGCGGCGCAGCAUCAUGGCGGCCAUAUGGCCGAUGCGGGCAAGAGAUGAGCCGCCCAGCACCUGCUCCUAGCGGCUAGCACGAGCACGUUGUCCAUGGCGGCGGCCGACGGGAGUUGUGCAGCGGCGGCGGACCAGGAGAGUCGUGGGAGAGAGACGAGGCUGAGACAGAUCGAGGAAUCGUUCACGUCGCCCUAAUUCCCCUCGGCCUUGGGCAGUUGCGUCGUGGGCUUCGCCAUGGGCUUCGAAAUAUUGGGCUGGGCUGCCACUGUAGCUCUCGAGCCAGCAGCCCGAGGGCAAAACGAGCCCAUUUUCGAAGCUCGGCUUGAGCUGAAAGUGAAGCAGGCUCGGGCCGAGCUGGCCCGGCUCGUCAUGGGCUCGGUCCAGCUCGCCGAGCCCAGCUCGUAUGUCCAGCCUGAGACCGAACCAGCACCCGAGUCUGGACUGAACCGGGCCAGUUCGCGACCAAGGUCCACGUGGCAUGCCACGUCAGCCCGAAAGGUGGGGCCUGUCGGUAAGAAAACAUUGGGUUAGGGAGAAAAAUACUAAAAGGGGUAAUUAGUGGCAAAUGUUUGCUUAAAUGGGGUAGAAUUUUAGAAAUUCUCUUAAAUGGGGUAGAUUGUGUCAAGAAAAUGAAGAGAGGAGGUAAAAAAUGGACUUUACUCAAAGGUUUUUCCUUGGCUAUGGAUAAAAGGGAGGAUUAAAGUGAGAACGGUGCUUAGGAGAAAGCAGAUUAUUGCCACUGAUGAAUGUCCUUUUGGCUGCAAUGCAAGUGAAUCUCCGACUCAUCUCGGCUGGUUUUUCCACGUUCUAUCUUACUCUUUCAAUUGUUGGGGAUUAAUACUGUGGGUGCAUAACACUUGCGCCUCCUGACAAGAUGGCUGCUUGGGAGACUGUUUUUUUUUGGAACGAAGUCAGGAGGGGAGACCCCUACCUGAAUUUUGAUUAAAAGGAGCCUGAGGCUCAAAGUUGCAAAGCGCCUGAAACCGGCAAAAGUGAAAAUAAUUACAAGGCAGGACAGAGCAAACACAAGGAAGCAAAGGAGAAAGAAAAAAAUUGGUAUUUAAUCAGGCCAAUCUUCAAUCCAGCGGUUGAUCGCCUGUUUUUCCUUGUUCUUCAAAGUUGGGAGACUGUUGCUGCUGCUAUUCUUUAGAAUAUUUGGCUUGCCCGAAAUCACAAGGUUUUUGAUGAUGGCAACAUUCCCGUGUCUAUCUUGGGAAGCAAUGUUCAGAGACAUUGAAGCUAUGGUCUCAUCGUUUAAAAGGCAAGUAGAGGUUAGCUGCUCGUCGGUGGAUAUAAGAUUGGCCUGCAUAGUUCCUUUCUUCUUGUUCUUCUUUUCUUUUCCUACAAACUUGUGGUACUUAAUUAUAAAAUUUGGCUGUUGUAAUCCUCCUGGGACUUGUACUGUUUGGAACUCCUUGGUUCCGUUUUUAUAAAAAUUAGGUAGGGGUCUCCCCUCCCGACUUCGCUAAAAACAAAGGUUCCAAAUCUGGGCGGUGUUACAUAUCGGAGCGAUUAGAAGCUUGAACUUCUCAUCCGGCGGCAAGCGUCGUCACGGUCCAAACUGAAUCCGUGCUGUGGGAGGAUAGUACUCUUAGGCCCAGUGCUGGAAAAUGGGCAGAGAAGAAAACGUACUCCGUAAUAAGGCUUAACUAGUCCGUCUCUGGUCUCUUGGCCCAAAUACUCGAGCUGAACACCUCUCUUUUUUUUUCUCGGGGCUUUGAAACUUCAGAUGUGGCCUCUCAAAUAUGCUCCAAAAAAAUGUUGCCUCUAAAAAAAAUGAAACUUCAGAUUUGGAUUCGUAUCUCCAUGAAUAAAAAUUUGAAUCCAAAUGCUUUGAGAUAAUUUGCAUGCCAACCUGUUUUUACAUGACUCCAUUUCUUUAUCUGACAACCAUUAUUCAGGCAUUCGCGGACGACACCACAGUCACAGAUACAAUUUGGGCGAAACACUAAGAUCAGACUUUCCUUGAACUCACACGAGAAAACACGCGGGGCACUAAGGCCAGUCCGCCACCACCCUUAAUACCAUGGCUGGAAGCCUGGAACCGGAGAAGUAAGAAUGGUGUUUGCUUGAGAGGAGGAUGCCGGCGCUAUGGCCUGGUUUGACAGCUUGUCGUGUCAUGUGGGCGCAAUCGCGCGUGCAUGUGUAGUUGACAACUUGAAUUAGCGGAACACAUCGACACACCGUGCUCUGGUACGAUCAGUGGAUGAUUGGAUUGACUAAUGGUACACACGAUUCACGAUUCUUCCGUCAUUCAUUCACUCGUGCACCUCAUGCUUAAUUACAUUGCGCGGGGUUCACUCCACCAUGGUACAAAUCAACACAUAACUAGACAAAGGUACAAGUUGAUCUACGGCGUACAAGUACACAUGCAUGCAUAUAUCGAUCGUCCGAUGGAUGGACCGAUAUAUACUACAGCUAGCUGCUAAUUCUCAUUUAGCUCCCGGGGGCGAAGUUGGUAGCAAAGGCCCAUGCAUUGUUGUUGACUGGGUCGGCGACGUGGUCGAAGAGGUUCUCGACGGGUCCCUUGCCCGUGACGAUGGCCUGCACGAAGAAUCCAAACAUGGAGAACAUGGCGAGGCGGCCGUUCUUGAGCUCCUUGACCUUGAGCUCAGCGGCGGUGUCUGGGUCGUCGGCGAGACCGAGGGGGUCAAAGGCGCCACCGGGGUAGAUCUUGUCGAGCCCCUCACCGAGAGGGCCUCCACCAACACGGUAACCCUCGAUGAAGCCCAUGAGCACAACUUGGCAUGCCCAAAUGGCGAGGAUGCUCUGCGCGUGCACGAGGUUAGGGUUGCCCAGGUAGUCCAGGCCGCCCUCGGAGAAGAUCUGCGAGCCGGCCUUGAACCACACCGCCUCGCCGAACUUGACACCAUUCUUGGAGAGGAUCUCCGGGAACACGCACCCGAGCGCGCCAAGCAUCGCCCAACGAGAGUGGAUCACCUCGAGCUCCCUGUUCUUGGCGAACGUCUCUGGGUCAGCUGACAACCCCGCGGUGUCCCAGCCGUAGUCACCGGGGAACUCGCCGGUCAGGUACGACGGCGUCUGCUCGGAGAACGGGCCCAGGUACUUGGGACGGUCAGGGCCGUACCUAUAUAUACACGCACGGUCAUUUCAUCACCAUUAAUUUCAUUCAGGCGAAGCCAAUUGCGCGGUACUUGAUGCAUGUAGUACAUAGAAAUGUAGCUUUGGACGAAGAAAAAGAUAUACUUACCAGAUGCUCUGGGGUGCGCUCUUGACAGUCCGGCGCAUGGUGAUGCGGCCGCCGAAGUCGCCGACGCUGCGGACGAGGUCAUCGCGGCGUGGGGCGGUGCCGAGGAAGCUGGUGGUCUGGUGCAGCGCCGACGCGGCCAUUUCGAUCCCAAUUCAAGUGGUAAGGUCAGUGAGAGAUGAGCUGGUGGCUGGUGUUGUUUGAGUGAGGAUGCCCGGCUCGGGGAGGUGGAUCUUUAUACGGCGCCUGAGAGGCGCGGGGCGAAGCUGGUGGACGCGCGGCGAGACACGUCCCCGCGACCCAAUUGGCUGCUGCUUCGCCUCUGGAUAUGGCGCGGUAUCCAUCCCCCUCCACGCGACCACUCGUCGGCCGCCACCUGGAGCCCAAGAUCGCAUCGCCCACAUCCUACACUAUCCCGACCAUAUAUGCACAUAUGUGCUCUGUUUCAUUUUAUCACGGUACAAUACUUGCCUAGAUCCGGUGAAACCGUGACAAAAUCAAACGACACCACCCACCAGUUUUCAUCUCACUGAUCGACCUGGUGAUGCGAGGUGAUUGAACCUCUCGCAGAUGUUCUUACCUUGCUCCGCUGGAUAAAGAUAUUACGGUUUUGUUAGUUCUAGGUUGUCAGAUUUUUAGUUAGAGAUAAGUUGAUUUUUCGGCCGUUGGAUAUGAUUUGUGCUUUAAAAUUUGCAAAGGAUGAUGAAAAAAAAAAGAUUUUUUACACUGGAUCAUACUGCUCCUCUUAUCCCAUCCGUCCGCUGUGCCUCGAGAUUCGUGCCCGACACCACAUAGUGAAAACUGCCUUCUGACUGCUGCUGAGUCCCACUCCUCAUUUUCCUUCUUCCCCAACCUCAAGCGCCUCUCUCUCUCUCUGCCCCUCUCUCUCUCUCCCCCCCAUGGUGCUGCUCCAUGUUAGGCGUCUCUCUCUCCUCUCCAUGGUGCUGCAUUGCCGCUCCAUGUUUUCACGCCUCUCUCUCCUCUCCAUGGUGAUGCUCUCUCUCUCUCUCUCUCCUAUCCAUGGCGCUGCACCAGUGGCUGCGGCGGCGACGGCACGGCCAUGUGUUGGAGGCGGCAGCAGGCGGUGCGCAUGUGGUGGCGAUAGCGGCCAACAUCGUGCCAUGUGCUUUUGGCGAGCCAGUUUUUUUCUUCGGCACACUAUAGAAGAGGCCAAGAGGGAGUGGUGUGCUCGAGACUCAAGAGUGACUGAAGCUUUCCCUGAAAAAAGAGAGCAAAGUGAGAUCUAAAUAUUAAUCUAAUGGCUCUGAUUCGUCAACUUAGAUCUAAGCCUUUUUUGCUUAAAUCAGGCAAAUUAGAUAUAGCAACGUCCGAUCUAAACCGUCUAAUUUCUUUUGAGUAUAAUGUGUGUUUUUGUUUGGCUUCAGUUUCAUUGUUCCAUGCGAUUUGGUUAAUUUUUUUAUACCAAAAAAGAGAGAUUUGGCUAAUUUUAACCUGAAGAUUGGUGGAUACUGAGCAUCUCCAAUGGGGUCUCCCAAAAGCUAUCCCAAAUGUCUCUUUGGGGGAUAUGGAUAUUUUGUUCUCAAAAUCAUUCCCGAAUGGCAUCCCCAAAACGGACAAAAUUUCCUCUUUGUCCGUCCCCAUCCUCAAAUUGGCCCCAAAUUUGGGGAGGUUUGGGGUGUCCGGAGACCGGACACACACUCACUUCUUAUCCGGCCCGAUCUCACAAAAAGCAGAGAUUCCAGUCCUUCUUCCUCUCCCUCUCUCUCUCUCUCUCUCUCUCCCCCCUCCGCACAUAGUGGAGCCGGAAGAAGUCAUGUGUUGCAUGCGAAUAAUGACAGAGGUCAUGUGCUGCAUGCGAAUUCAAAGACUAUGUGCUGAAGGAACCAGUCAUGCGCUGACACAUGGCAUCUUAUACCAUAUACCAAUAAAAUAUAUCAUAUAUCAUUUACUGACACCAUGUAUUGAACCACAUACAUUGACUGAUAUCAUAUAUCAUUGACUAAUACCAAGGAAAAUAUCAUUCACAUAGCAUAUACCAAUCCAUAUACCAUUGACCCAUAUCAUGUACCAUUGACUCGUAACAAAAUAUAAUACUAAGGUGGGUCGGCCCACCACCACGUGCCAGCUUGUGCCGGCACCACUACAUAGCGGUGCCGGUAGAAUCGCCGCUUUACGUCUACCUCCCUCUCCCUGCUUUCUCUGCUCCCUCUCUCGAUCUCUCUUCCUCUGACUUCUCCUCACCAUCUCUUCUCUCUGGGCGGCGCCGAAUCCGACCGGCGCUGUCUCGACCGCCGCCGCUCCGCCGCGGGUCCUUCCGCGAACGAACUGCUCUGCCUGGGCAAGCUCCACAAGGUCGCGCCACUGCAGAAAGCAUCCGCAGGCUGUGGAGAUUCGCCCGGACCUCGUCCUCCGACGGCAGUACCAAAGCGGCGCCGGCGUUCAGUCCAGGAGCACAUGCAGGGACGAACAGCAGGGUCAAGCUUCAUCCGCUAGCCAACGUAAUCAAAAGACCGGUCUGAUGGAAACUCUAGACAAUUCACUUAUACACUUCAACACCCCGCCCCCCUCACGUGUGACGGGAAGACAAGUCAACACGUGUAAACUCAGAGGUAUGGUGGUUCAAGAGGCCAAUACAUGAACAGAGGGGGUAACAACAAUUUUUAAUAUAAAUUGUGAAAGCCAGGACUUGCCGUUGGGUGACGAGGGCAGACACAGGGCGUACAUAUGUCUAUUUGCCCUCCAAACGGACAAAAUGAGGACAUUUGAGGGCAAAAUUUGGAGGACCCCAUUGGAGAUGCUCUAAGAUCUUGUGGUGUUGCAGUUAUAAAAACCACUCCCUCCGUCCAACAAAAGAUGUCUUAAGUUUGUCAAAAUUUGAAUGUAUAUAGACAUGACUUAGUGUAUAGAUGCAUUCAAAUUUAGUCAAAUUUGGACAUCCUUUGUUGGACGGAGAAAGUAUUUUUGUAAGGCGGUUAUAAGAACUACUAGUACUACACAACCGCGUUUUGCUUUUCUUUUUCCUAAAAUUGAACUAGUACCGAUCAGCCUAUAUAUGCAUCUUCACGUUCUAUUAAUAUCUACACUGAUAACUUAUUGAGUGAAAGAAAAGGUUUUAGGAAUAAUAUAUGUAUAUGAAAAUUUAGAAUCACGUAUGAGUUGGACACAGUAACAGAAACUUGUAGUAUAGAAGUACUCUAUUUCCCUACUACCUUAGACAAUAUAAAUAUUGAGACCAUGUUACUCCCUAUUUAAUAUUCAGAUUUCUUUUUGUUUUGUUCUUGUUGCUGAAUGCAGUUCAAUGUAUUGCUCUAAUUUGAGUUGUCCCUAUAAUUAUUUUUACAAGUUUUGAAAAAAAGGUAGUGUAUGUUAAUUAAGAACCAAGAUUCAUACAAUCAUUCAUAACCACGCAGGACAGCACGGAAUUACUCAACACACCUCCAGUGCACACCUUACUGCAGUAGCUAGCUAGCUCAUGAGCCACAUAAUUGUUCUCUCUUUUAGUAAAAACGAAGCGAAUGCCAGGAUCAAAAGUAGUGACCUGUGGAAUGUCAACCACCAUUGAGCAUCUUGAAGACCGAUUAUCCGCCAAGGAGUAAAGAGCCUGAAUGAAGGAGACGCAAUCGCUUUCAACAAUCAAAGGUGCCGAGGAGUGUUGCCUGGCUAUCUUGAGGCCCUGAAGACAAGCCACACCCUCAGCCAUCUCUGCAUUAGGACAACGAGCAAUGGCGUCCCAAGCUGACAGAAUUACGGUGCCAUGUUCAUUGUCAAUCUUCAUGCGCUAGCCAACGCAACCAAACGAUCGAUCUGAUGAAAAUAAGCAAUCCACUUAUACGCUUCAACACCCCGCCUCACGUGUGACGGGGAAGAUAAGUUAACACAUGUAAACUCAGAAGUAUGGUGGCUCAAGAGGUCAACAUAUGGACGGAGAGGUAACAUCAAUUUUUAAUAUAAAUUGUGAAAGCCAUGACUUUAACAUGAGACAUUUGGCUUUGAUACCAUGUCAAACUUCAUGCGCUAGCCAAUGCAACCAAAAGAUCGAUCUGAUGGGAAGGGCUAGGCAAUCCACUUAUACACUUCAACAUUGAUCAAGGAGAACCGCACCCCAAGUAACAAUGUUCACGCCCGACGAAAAGCUAGCAUUCACGUUGAGUUUGAGCCAUCCCGUGUCUGGUGGUCUCCAGGCCGAAGGUGGACAAGGCUGGACAGUUGCAUGUUCCUCUGCUCGGGUUGUACUACACGAUUUUCCUUCAAGAUCAGGUUCCAGCAUCUUAUCCUUAAUUGUCAUCAUGGAGUUUGCAUAAUUGAAAAGAAAUUGUGCCGAAGGUUGGAUCGAUGCAUCUCCUUUCGCAAAGAUGAUAUCAUUCCGGAGAUGCACGCUCGCCACCAUAUGAAUAGGAGUUUGGUACGGGAGUCCUCAUUCACCUGAUCGAGUAACACCAAAACCCAAUCGCGCCCAAAGUAGCGAAUACCAGUUUCAGGUGGCAGCGGCAUGAAAUCCAUCUUCAGGCUCCAUGCCACACAUGGUGCAAGUCUCGUGGAUGUUUUUGAAGCGAUGGUGGUG
rnacentral:lncRNA from 1 species